UACGUAGGUGGCAAGCGUUGUCCGGAUUUACUGGGCGUAAAGAGCGCGCAGGCGGUUGAUUAAGUCGAAUGUGAAAGCCCCCGGCUCAACUGGGGAGGGUCAUUCGAUACUGAUCGACUUGAAGGCAGGAGAGGGAAGUGGAAUUCCGGGUGUAGUGGUGAAAUGCGUAGAUAUCCGGAGGAACACCAGUGGCGAAGGCGACUUCCUGGCCUGUUCUUGACGCUGAGGAGCGAAAGCUGGGGGAGCAAACGGG
rnacentral:rRNA from 1 species